rnacentral:rRNA from 1 species
AUACGGAGGAUCCGAGCGUUAUCCGGAUUUAUUGGGUUUAAAGGGUGCGUAGGUGGUUUGAUAAGUCAGCGGUGAAAGUUUGCAGCUUAACUGUAAAAAUGCCGUUGAAACUGUCGGACUUGAGUGUAAAUGAGGUAGGCGGAAUGCGUGGUGUAGCGGUGAAAUGCAUAGAUAUCACGCAGAACUCCGAUUGCGAAGGCAGCUUACUAAGCUACAACUGACACUGAAGCACGAAAGCGUGGGGAUCGAACAGGAUUAGAUACCCUGGUAGUCCACGCAGUAAACGAUGAUUACUAGCUGUUUGCGAUACACAGUAAGCGGCACAGCGAAAGCGUUAAGUAAUCCACCUGGGGAGUACGCCGGCAACGGUGAAACUCAAAUGAAUUGACGGGG